UUAAAUUGAAGAGUUUGAUCAUGGCUCAGAUUGAACGCUGGCGGCAGGCCUAACACAUGCAAGUCGAACGGUAACAGGAAGAAGCUUGCUUCUUUGCUGACGAGUGGCGGACGGGUGAGUAAUGUCUGGGAAACUGCCUGAUGGAGGGGGAUAACUACUGGAAACGGUAGCUAAUACCGCAUAACGUCGCAAGACCAAAGAGGGGGACCUUCGGGCCUCUUGCCAUCGGAUGUGCCCAGAUGGGAUUAGCUUGUUGGUGGGGUAACGGCUCACCAAGGCGACGAUCCCUAGCUGGUCUGAGAGGAUGACCAGCCACACUGGAACUGAGACACGGUCCAGACUCCUACGGGAGGCAGC
rnacentral:rRNA from 1 species